UAUGGCGCAAGUGGUGCUGAUGAUGUUGUGAGAGCUGUAAGAUGCAUUUGAAUUUCACAUAUCCAUGCUGAUCACCACACUGGCUUGGCUAGGAUCCUUGCUCUGCGCCGUGAAUUACCGAAGAGGGUGCCUCAUGAACCAGUUCUUGUCGUAGGGCCAAGGCAGCUUAAGAGAUAUUUAGAUGCUUACCAAAGACUCGAAGAUUUGGAUAUGCUAUUUUUAGAUUGCAAGCACACCACAGCAGCUUCAUUGGAUGGUUUUUAGGAUGGCUGUGACCUGAAAAAUAAUAAUAGAUUUAGGGGGUAAUCCAAGAAGCUGGUCUGAAAUCCAUGAUGAGUCAAGAUCUGUGACCAAGGCUCCUGCCAUGAUGGUAACGGGCACAAGAGCUGAUGAAGAGACAAUUGAUAGAUUAAUUGAGACUGGAGACAGUGAGUAAAUCUUUUAGAAGGCAAUUCAGGAACAAGGAAGAGGACAGAUUAUCUAUAGUGUUCCCUUUGCUGUCACAGCGGAGUUGAUUGCUGAUUCAUGUGGUGGCCAACGUUAGUAUGCAAUGUUGAAGAUGUGUGCUUAAUAUUUGAUCAACUAAGAUAAGUUUCUGAUUUCAUGACAUUCAAUUGGAUGUGUAGGAUUGGCUAUAAGAGUUCUAAAUCUUCCAAUCAUUGUUCCACAGCCAAGAAGUGUAGCCCUUUUCCAAUUGCAUUAAGAGAUAUUAAGCAGUACGACAUUAUUCAAAACAUGCACAGGAUACUAAUUGAUUGGCUUGUAGAGAUUUGCAUAAUGUAAUUUUUCUCGUAUAAUACAAUGUUAUGAAUUAUAGCUGAUAAAUUUAGUAUGGUUAAAUAAUACACUGAGGAUUAUAUUUGAUGUAUCAAUACACUUUGUUUAUGUUUUGAAUUAUAUUGACUUUCUUGUUUAUAGCACUUUUAUUUU